CAGAACCUGAACCUGACAGCUUCUCUAUCACCUUCGGACUCGGGCUCAAGGACGAGGGAGCUGAAAGGGAAAUGUCAGCAUCCAUCUGAUCCAGAUCCCCAGGCAUUCCUCUCUGUGGACCAGUCCUUCCCUGCAAGUACAUUGAGGAAAGAAGGAGUCAUUUUGUGUCAGCUAAGAGGAAAAGAUGGAGACAGGCUCUUCAGUCAAUUUAAAGAGGACACACUGCUGGUAGGGAAUGUGAAACAGUACAACCACUUUGGAAAACAGCUUCUCGGAAAGCAGGUAACAAACAUACGAAGCACAUCCUUCCUUAUGAUGAGAAAAUUGAAAACAUCAAUAGGAAAAAAGUUUAGAUCGAUUCGUGUGUGGCAAGUUCCAUCAGACUCCAAACGAGUUUGGAGAACAGCAUCCCCUCCCUUGAGGUGC